GGACCCUUUGGAGUCAUCCAUUCAUGACAGGUGGACGUUAAGAUGAGGGCCCCAACUCAGACCACGAGAUGAGCAGAAGCCCUCGCCUGCAGCUUCUUGAAGAACGAAGCUUAGGGGAAACCCAGGAGAAGCACUGUGGCCUAGAAGAAUGGAUUCAGAAAGGAAGCAAGGGCCAAAUGUAAUGUUUUCCUAGGAAACUGGAAACGCAACUGAACCAAGAGAGUGAGCUAAAAGAACCUUAAAUUGUUCCCAACGGGCAACUAUGGUACAGGUAUUGGGCUCACUUUACAGAGGAAGAAA